GCAAGUCUACUCGAAGUUAGCUUCGGCUAACGGACGGUGGCGGACGGGUGAGUAACGCGUAAAGAACUUGCCUUGCAGUUUGGGACAACAUCUGGAAACGGAUGCUAAUACCGGGUAUUAUGCUUUGACCGCAUGGUCUUAGUAUGAAAGCUAUAUGCGCUGCAAGAGAGCUUUGCGUCCUAUUAGCUAGUUGGUGAGGUAACGGCCCACCAAGGCAGUGAUAGGUAGCCGGCCUGAGAGGGUGAACGGCCACAAGGGGACUGAGACACGGCCCUUACUCCUACGGGAGGCAGCAGUGGGGAAUAUUGGACAAUGGACCAAAAGUCUGAUCCAGCAAUUCUGUGUGCACGAUGAAGUUUUUCGGAAUGUAAAGUGCUUUCAGUUGGGACGAAGAACGUGACGGUACCAACAGAAGAAGCGACGGCUAAAUACGCGCCAGCAGCCGCGGUAAUACGUAUGUCGCAAGCGUUAUCCGGAUUUAUUGGGCGUAAAGCGCGUCUAGGCGGUUUGGUAAGUCUGAUGUGAAAAUGCGGGGCUCAACCCCGUAUUGCGUUGGAAACUGCCAAACUAGAGUACUGGAGAGGUGGGCGGAACUACAAGUGUAGAGGUGAAAUUCGUAGAUAUUUGUAGGAAUGCCGAUGGAGAAGUCAGCCCACUGGACAGAUACUGACGCUGAAGCGCGAAAGCGUGGGUAGCAAACAGGAUUAGAUACCCUGGUAGUCCACGCCGUAAACGAUGAUUACUAGGUGUUGGGGGU
rnacentral:rRNA from 1 species